rnacentral:rRNA from 1 species
AACCCUUUAUUGAUUAGUUGCUAACAUUAAGUUGAGGACUCUAUUGAGACUGCCAGUGAUAACUGGAGAAGGUGGGGAUGACGUCAAAUCAUCAUGCCCUUUAUGACCUGGGCUACAAACGUACUACAAUGGCCAAUACAAAGAGAUGCGAAGCGGUGACGUGGAGCGAACCUCAUAAAAAUGGUCUCAGUUCAGAUUGAAGUCUGCAACUCGACUUCAUGAAGGCGGAAUCGCUAGUAAUCGCGGGUCAGCAUACCGCGGUGAAUACGUUCCCGGGUUUU